AGUAACGCGUAAAGAACUUGCCUCACAGCUAGGGACAACAUUUGGAAACGACUGCUAAUACCGCAUAAGCCCACGGCUCGGCAUCGAGCAGAGGGAAAAGGAGCAAUCCGCUUUGAGAUGGCCUCGCGUCCGAUUAGCUAGUUGGUGAGGUAACGGCCCACCAAGGCAACGAUCGGUAGCCGGACUGAGAGGUUGAACGGCCACAUUGGGACUGAGACACGGCCCAG
rnacentral:rRNA from 1 species